GACGAACGCUGGCGGCGUGCUUAACACAUGCAAGUCGAACGAUGAUGCCAGCUUGCUGGUGGAUUAGUGGCGAACGGGUGAGUAACACGUGAGCAACCUGCCCCUGACUUCGGGAUAACCGCGGUAAACCGUGGCUAAUACCGGAUAUGACGCGCUAUCGCAUGGUGGGGGGGGGAAAGAUUUAUCGGUUGGGGAUGGGCUCGCUGCCUAUCAGCUUGUUGGUGGGGUGAUGGCCUACCAAGGCGGCGACGGGUAGCCGGCCUGAGAGGGUGACCGGCCACCCUGGGACUGAGGCACGGCCCAGCCUCCUACGGGAGGCAGCAGUGGGGAAUAUUGAACACUGGGCGCAAGCCUGCUGCAGCGACGCCGCGUGCGGGAUGACGGCCUUCGGGUUGUAAACCUCUUUCAGUAGGGAAGAAGGCCUUCGGGUUGACGGUACCUGCAGAAGAAGCGCCGGCUAACUACGUG
rnacentral:rRNA from 1 species